rnacentral:rRNA from 1 species
UUGGUGGAUCAGUGGCGAACGGGUGAGUAACACGUGAGCAACCUGCCCUGGACUCUGGGAUAAGCGCUGGAAACGGCGUCUAAUACUGGAUAUGAGACGUGAUCGCAUGGUCGUGUUUGGAAAGAUUUUUCGGUCUGGGAUGGGCUCGCGGCCUAUCAGCUUGUUGGUGAGGUAAUGGCUCACCAAGGCGUCGACGGGUAGCCGGCCUGAGAGGGUGACCGGCCACACUGGGACUGAGACACGGCCCAGACUCCUACGGGAGGCAGCAGUGGGGAAUAUUGCACAAUGGGCGAAAGCCUGAUGCAGCAACGCCGCGUGAGGGAUGACGGCCUUCGGGUUGUAAACCUCUUUUAGCAGGGAAGAAGCGAAAGUGACGGUACCUGCAGAAAAAGCGCCGGCUAACUACGUGCCAGCAGCCGCGGUAAUACGUAGGGCGCAAGCGUUAUCCGGAAUUAUUGGGCGUAAAGAGCUCGUAGGCGGUUUGUCGCGUCUGCUGUGAAAUCCCGAGGCUCAACCUCGGGCCUGCAGUGGGUACGGGCAGACUAGAGUGCGGUAGGGGAGAUUGGAAUUCCUGGUGUAGCGGUGGAAUGCGCAGAUAUCAGGAGGAACACCGAUGGCGAAGGCAGAUCUCUGGGCCGUAACUGACGCUGAGGAGCGAAAGGGUGGGGAGCAAACAGGCUUAGAUACCCUGGUAGUCCACC